AAGAAUUUGCACGCGGUAUGUGUUGCCCCCUGAGUCAGCUGUUGUCCCCCAGAAUCGACACAUGCAGGACAGAUCUAAGCCCAACCUGCUAUGAGGGGCCCCAGCCAGCUGGCUCUUCACCUUAAAGCUGAGCUGCCCAGGGUUUCUGGAAAGCAGUUGAUGCUGCCAUGAAUGUUCACCUUCCCUCUGACUGGGGUUCACAGGCUCUGUGGGAAGAGAGUGGCUGGCCUGGAGCCUCGGGUGAUG